rnacentral:rRNA from 1 species
AUGUAUCCACCUCCUAAUUAUCCAGUAAAUUUGUCUUCCCAACCACAUAUGUCCCAACAAUUUGAUUCAAGUGGAUAUUAUGGCUAUGGUUCUACUCCGAGUAUGCAGCACAAUGCUACCAAUGGCCAGGGCGACGAUGACAGCGACGAUGACGACGACGACAACAACGACAAUGCAGAAGAUACCCGAGGCCGGCGUCUAGCUUGGACCGAGGACGACAACAUUAGACUGAUAAGUGCUUGGUUGAAUAACUCCAUAGACUCCAUUGAUGGAAACAACAAAAAGGGAGAGGUGUAUUGGAAGAAUGUCACGGAGGACUACAAUAAAAACAGUCCACCCACCCGGAGGAGAAACAGUAAAAACUGCAAGGACCAUUGGGGUAAAACUAAUAGGAAAGUUGUAGCUUUUCAUGGAGUUUACUGCAGGCUAAAAGAUGCCUAUGCAAGUGGGCAAUGCGACUUACAGCUUGUCCAGAAAGCCUUGGCCAUGUACAAGAAGGAGAAGAAUCAAAACUUCACACUAUUGUACUGGUGGGAGAAGGUUAGGGUCCACCAGAAGUGGAGUAGGCACUCCGAGGAGGGUAAAGGCAAAGGUAAUGGUACAAUACAAACCCAGAUGGAAAAAGAAACUCGCCCCGAUGGAACCAAACUGGCGAAAGGAAAGAAGAAAGGAAAAGUUGAAGAUGAAAACUCUUUUGGAACACUAACACACGAUGAUGUUCAAUUAUACCAUGACACACAAGCAUUACGAGCAUCGUUGCAAGAAAAGAUGGCAGAGGUGCACCUUCGACUCUCCAGAGAUAAGCUUGAGAUUGGCAAGACAAGAGAGAGGAUCAAAAUGUCUAGUACCUACAAGGAACUCAUAAUGGCCGAUACCUCACACAUGGAUGAGUAUCAAAAGAGUGAACACCAACGGGCACUAAAAUUUUUCAGUGACCAACUAUUUGGAGGAAACUAA